rnacentral:rRNA from 1 species
GACGAACGCUGGCGGCGUGCUUAACACAUGCAAGUCGUACGGUAAGGCCCUUUCGGGGGUACACGAAUGGCGAACGGGUGAGUAACACGUGAGUAACCUGCCCACAACUUUGGGAUAACGCUAGGAAACUGGUGCUAAUACUGGAUAUGUGCCCCUGCUGCAUGGUGGGGGUUGGAAAGCUCCGGCGGUUGUGGAUGGACUCGCGGCCUAUCAGCUUGUUGGUGGGGUAGUGGCCUACCAAGGCGGCGACGGGUAGCCGGCCUGAGAGGGUGACCGGCCACAUUGGGACUGAGAUACGGCCCAGACUCCUACGGGAGGCAGCAGUGGGGAAUAUUGCACAAUGGGCGCAAGCCUGAUGCAGCAACGCCGCGUGCGGGAUGACGGCCUUCGGGUUGUAAACCGCUUUCAGCAGGGACGAAGCUUUUUGUGACGGUACCUGCAGAAGAAGCACCGGCUAACUACGUG